rnacentral:rRNA from 1 species
UACGAAGGGUGCUAGCGUUGUUCGGAAUCACUGGGCGUAAAGCGCACGUAGGCGGAUUUGUAAGUCAGGGGUGAAAUCCCGGGGCUCAACCUCGGAACUGCCUUUGAUACUGCAAGUCUCGAGUCCGGAAGAGGUGAGUGGAAUUCCUAGUGUAGAGGUGAAAUUCGUAGAUAUUAGGAAGAACACCAGUGGCGAAGGCGGCUCACUGGUCCGGUACUGACGCUGAGGUGCGAAAGCGUGGGGAGCAAACAGG